rnacentral:rRNA from 1 species
UACGUAGGGUGCAAGCGUUGUCCGGAAUUAUUGGGCGUAAAGAGCUCGUAGGCGGUUUGUCGCGUCGAAUGUGAAAACCCGGGGCUCAACCCCGGGCCUGCAUUCGAUACGGGCAGACUAGAGUUCGGUAGGGGAGUCUGGAAUUCCUGGUGUAGCGGUGAAAUGCGCAGAUAUCAGGAGGAACACCAAUGGCGAAAGCAGCUUUCUGGGACGGUACUGACGCUGAGACGCGAAAGCGUGGGGAGCGAACAGG